rnacentral:rRNA from 1 species
CCCGCUGAACUUAAGCAUAUCAAUAAGCGGAGGAAAAGAAACUAACAAGGAUUCCCCUAGUAACUGCGAGUGAAGCGGGAAAAGCUCAAAUUUAAAAUCUGGCGGCUCUUUGCCGUCCGAGUUGUAAUUUAGAGAAGCGUCUUCCGCGCCGGACCAUGCACAAGUCUCCUGGAAUGGAGCGUCAUAGAGGGUGAGAAUCCCGUCUUUGGCAUGGAUCCCUGGUGCUUCUGUGAUGCGCUCUCGAAGAGUCGAGUUGUUUGGGAAUGCAGCCCAAAAUGGGUGGUGAACUCCAUCUAAAGCUAAAUAUUGGCGAGAGACCGAUAGCGAACAAGUACCGUGAGGGAAAGAUGAAAAGCACUUUGGAAAGAGAGUGAAACAGUACGUGAAAUUGUUGAAAGGGAAACGCUUGAAGUCAGUCGCGUCGACCGAGACUCAGCCUUGCCUUGGCUCGGUGUACUUCUCGGCCCGACGGGUCAGCAUCAAUCUUGCCCCUCGAAUAAUGGCAAGGGAAAGGUGGCACCUUUACGGGUGAUGUUAUAGUCUCCUGUCGCAGGCGACGGGCGGGAUUGAGGAACUCACCACGCGCCUGCGGUCUCGCGGCUUCGGCCCACGUUCACGUGCUUAGGAUGUUGGCGUAGUGGCUUCAAACGACCCGUCUUGAAACACGG